rnacentral:rRNA from 1 species
AACUGCUUUUGUACAGGAAGAAACCUUCUUACGUGUAAGAAGCUGACGGUACUGUAAGAAUAAGCAUCGGCUAACUCCGUGCCAGCAGCCGCGGUAAUACGGAGGAUGCAAGCGUUAUCCGGAAUCAUUGGGUUUAAAGGGUCCGUAGGUGGACUAAUAAGUCAGAGGUGAAAGCCUGCAGCUCAACUGUAGAACCGCCUUUGAUACUGUUAGUCUUGAAUUAUUGUGAAGUGGUUAGAAUAUGUAGUGUAGCGGUGAAAUGCAUAGAUAUUACAUAGAAUACCAAUUGCGAAGGCAGAUCACUAACAAUAUAUUGACACUGAUGGACGAAAGCGUGGGGAGCGAACGGGAUUAGAUACCCCGGUAGUCCACGCCGUAAACGAUGGUCACUAGCUGUUCGGAUUUCGGUCUGAGUGGCUAAGCGAUAGUAUAAGUGCCCCACCUGGGGAG